rnacentral:rRNA from 1 species
GAUGAACGCUGGCGGCGUGCCUAAUACAUGCAAGUCGAGCGAACGGACGAGAAGCUUGCUUCUCUGAUGUUAGCGGCGGACGGGUGAGUAACACGUGGAUAACCUACCUAUAAGACUGGGAUAACUUCGGGAAACCGGAGCUAAUACCGGAUAAUAUUUUGAACCGCAUGGUUCAAAAGUGAAAGACGGUCUUGCUGUCACUUAUAGAUGGAUCCGCGCUGCAUUAGCUAGUUGGUAAGGUAACGGCUUACCAAGGCAACGAUGCAUAGCCGACCUGAGAGGGUGAUCGGCCACACUGGAACUGAGACACGGUCCAGACUCCUACGGGAGGCAGCAGUAGGGAAUCUUCCGCAAUGGGCGAAAGCCUGACGGAGCAACGCCGCGUGAGUGAUGAAGGUCUUCGGAUCGUAAAACUCUGUUAUUAGGGAAGAACAUAUGUGUAAGUAACUGUGCACAUCUUGACGGUACCUAAUCAGAAAGCCACGGCUAACUACGUGCCAGCAGCCGCGGUAAUACGUAGGUGGCAAGCGUUAUCCGGAAUUAUUGGGCGUAAAGCGCGCGUAGGCGGUUUUUUAAGUCUGAUGUGAAAGCCCACGGCUCAACCGUGGAGGGUCAUUGGAAACUGGAAAACUUGAGUGCAGAAGAGGAAAGUGGAAUUCCAUGUGUAGCGGUGAAAUGCGCAGAGAUAUGGAGGAACACCAGUGGCGAAGGCGACUUUCUGGUCCGUAACUGACGCUGAUGUGCGAAAGCGUGGGGAUCAAACAGGAUUAGAUACCCUGGUAGUCCACGCCGUAAACGAUGAGUGCUAAGUGUUAGGGGGUUUCCGCCCCUUAGUGCUGCAGCUAACGCAUUAAGCACUCCGCCUGGGGAGUACGACCGCAAGGUUGAAACUCAAAGGAAUUGACGGGGACCCGCACAAGCGGUGGAGCAUGUGGUUUAAUUCGAAGCAACGCGAAGAACCUUACCAAAUCUUGACAUCCUUUGACAACUCUAGAGAUAGAGCCUUCCCCUUCGGGGGACAAAGUGACAGGUGGUGCAUGGUUGUCGUCAGCUCGUGUCGUGAGAUGUUGGGUUAAGUCCCGCAACGAGCGCAACCCUUAAGCUUAGUUGCCAUCAUUAAGUUGGGCACUCUAAGUUGACUGCCGGUGACAAACCGGAGGAAGGUGGGGAUGACGUCAAAUCAUCAUGCCCCUUAUGAUUUGGGCUACACACGUGCUACAAUGGACAAUACAAAGGGCAGCGAAACCGCGAGGUCAAGCAAAUCCCAUAAGGUUGUUCUCAGUUCGGAUUGUAGUCUGCAACUCGACUACAUGAAGCUGGAAUCGCUAGUAAUCGUAGAUCAGCAUGCUACGGUGAAUACGUUCCCGGGUCU